GGGCCGUUAGCUCAGUUGGUAGAGCAGUUGACUUUUAAUCAAUUGGUCGCAGGUUCGAAUCCUGCACGACCCA
rnacentral:tRNA from 1 species